rnacentral:rRNA from 1 species
CGCGUAGGCGGUUUGUCAAGUCAGAUGUGAAAGCCCAGGGCUCAACCCUGGAACUGCAUUUGAGACUGACUCACUUGAGUGAUAGAGAGGUAAGCAGAAUUCCCAGUGUAGAGGUGAAAUUCGUAGAUAUUGGGAGGAAUACCGGUUGCGAAGGCGGCUUACUGGCUAUCAACUGACGCUGAGGCGCGAAAGCGUGGGGAGCAAACA